rnacentral:pre_miRNA from 1 species
UCACCUCCGCAGGCUGGCUGGCCCCCAGGCUGGGCUGGGCAAGUAUCUCUUUGAAAUGCUCAUCCUCAAGCCUGACUAGGAAC